rnacentral:rRNA from 1 species
UACAGAGGAGGCUAGCGUUGUUCGGAAUUACUGGGCGUAAAGGGCGCGUAGGCGGCCUGUUAAGUCGAACGUGAAAUCCCCGGGCUCAACCCGGGAACUGCGUCCGAUACUGGCAGGCUUGAAUCCGGGAGAGGGAUGUGGAAUUCCAGGUGUAGCGGUGAAAUGCGUAGAUAUCUGGAGGAACACCGGUGGCGAAGGCGGCAUCCUGGACCGGUAUUGACGCUGAGGCGCGAAAGCCAGGGGAGCAAACGGG